GAUACAGACAAUUAUAUUGAUAGAUCUCAAAAUGUAUCUGCAAUAUUAAAGCAGAUCUCUCCCCCACACACACGUUUUUGAAUAACUCUUGCUGAAUGUGGAGAAUGGACUAUGACCAGCUAGCUCUCUGACACACAGCUUGAUGAUGGCAAUGACGCCUCUACUGAGGACAGUCCAGAGCCUCCAAAGGAACCACAAGGACCAGUGAAGGACCAUCGACUGAGCCCAGGGAAGGUCUCUGGUCCUGUGUCUGGCAAGACAGGCUGGCCUCUCUCCUCUUGUGACCUCAGCACCCCGGACCCUGGCUGAAGCCCUACGGGCCCUGCCCUCUGCUGUGGCCCCUCCCUCCCCAGAUAAUGUCCCGAGGCCUCUGACUCCUCUCAGCCCAGUCAUUAUCACUCCGUCCUCUACAGAGAACUUCCCAUACCGCCGCAGCCCUCGGCUGGCCCCCAUAACCAACCUGAGUGUAACCGCCCCCACAGGAAGGGAAGGUCAAUAAGAAAAAGAAGUGCAAGGCCAAAAAAGAAUUGAAGCAAAAGAAGGCCGGUAAGAUGCAACGG